UAAUAUCCGAACCUUGCUUUUUACCCCUCCCGAACUCAAUGUCGCCGAUGCUCUCAUCCUUCUCCCUCUCGAUCCCUCUCCCUUCUUCACCUCCUCACCUCCGGUGACCACCGGCCGUGGGACGUAGAUGGCAGCAUGAGAUUCCUCACCGUGCCCUAGCCAUCUUUAAGCGCCGACACCUUCGCCGUCCUCUCACUUGCCUCGAUCGCAAGCCCGUCUUGUGCCGAUUUCUCUUCUCCGCCCACGCGAGCGCGAUGGAAGCCGAUCCACCACCGGAUCGUCGAUCCACGCCGUCGCUCUCUUCCUUCCCUCUCUGUGUCGUUCCUGCCCAACACCCUGACGCCGCCCAGUGCUGCGUUGCCCGAUGGGCACCAGCUGAGCUGUGCCCUAGUUGCCACCAUCAGGGAGCUCCCGUUCCAAUCUAGGGUCAUCAUCCAUUUCACCGCCGGCAGCUCCUCCCUGUUCCGUCCGUCCAUGCUUGUCGCUAGAAUCUCAUGGGUAGCAGGUAGUCGAUCUCUUCUAGUCACCGUUGUCGCUGUAGUGUACCACCACCAGGGAUCCAUUGUCAGAGUGGGAAUGACCGAAUAAGGACUUUGAUUCGAGACGAGCGUCUUGACGUCGGAUUUGGUUUGAUUCGACCUUCUUUUCGAGGCGGGUACUUCUUGCUUUGUUUUCUUUUAUACUUUGACCUUAGUGUAUGAAGUAUUUGGAUAAGGACUGUUUACCUUGAUUCCA